rnacentral:misc_RNA from 1 species
AACGCACAUUGCGCCCCUUGGUAUUCCAUGGGGCAUGCCUGUUCGAGCGUCAUUUGUACCCUCAAGCUUUGCUUGGUGUUGGGCGUCUUGUCUUUUCCUUUUGUGAUUAGACUCGCCUUAAAGUAAUUGGCAGCCAGUGUUUUUGGUAGUAAGCGCAGCACAUUUUGCGUCUUGGUCCCUAAACAGCGGCAUCCACAAAGCCUCUUUCUCACUUUUGACCUCGGAUCAGGUAGGGAUACCCGCUGAACUUAA